rnacentral:rRNA from 1 species
GCCCGAGUUGUAAUCUAUAGAAACGUUUUCCGCGUUGGCCCAUGUACAAGUCUCCUGGAAUGGAGCGUCAUAGAGGGUGAGAAUCCCGUCCUUGACAUGGACUACCAGUGCUUUGUGAUACGUUUUCAAAGAGUCGAGUUGUUUGGGAAUGCAGCUCAAAAUGGGUGGUAAAUUCCAUCUAAAGCUAAAUAUUGGCGAGAGACCGAUAGCGAACAAGUACCGUGAGGGAAAGAUGAAAAGCACUUUGGAAAGAGAGUUAAACAGUAUGUGAAAUUGUUGAAAGGGAAACGAUUGAAGUCAGUCAUGUCUAUUGGACUCAGCCGGUUCUGCCGGUGUACUUCCUUUAGAUGGGGUCAACAUCAGUUUUGAUCGCUGGAAAAGGGCAGGAGGAAUGUAGCACUCUCGGGUGAACUUAUAGCCUUCUGUCGUAUACAGUGGUUGGGACUGAGGAACGCAGCAUGCCUUUAUGGCCGGGGUUCGCCCACGUACAUGCUUAGGAUGUUGA